rnacentral:rRNA from 1 species
GACGAACGCUGGCGGCGUGCUUAACACAUGCCAGUCGAACGGAAAGGCCCUGCUUGCAGGGUACUCGAGUGGCGAACGGGUGAGUAACACGUGGGUGAUCUGCCCUGCACUUCGGGAUAAGCCUGGGAAACUGGGUCUAAUACCGGAUAGGAGCCAUUUUUAGUGUGAUGGUUGGAUAGUUUUUUCGGUGUAGGAUGAGCUCGCGGCCUAUCAGCUUGUUGGUGGGGUAAUGGCCUACCAAGGCGGCGACGGGUAGCCGGCCUGGGAGGGUGGACGGCCACAUUGGGACUGAAGGACGGCCCAGACACCGACGGGAGGCAGAAGUGGGGAAGAUUGCACAAUGGGCGCAAGCCUGAUGCAGCGACGCCGCGUGGGGGAAGACGGCCUUCGGGUUGUAAACUCCUUUCGCUAGGGACGAAGCUUUUUGUGACGGUACCUAGAUAAGAAGCACCGGCUAACUACGUG